rnacentral:rRNA from 1 species
AGCGAACGCUGGCGGCAGGCUUAACACAUGCAAGUCGAACGCCCCGCAAGGGGAGUGGCAGACGGGUGAGUAACACGUGGGAACGUACCCUUUGGUUCGGAAUAACUUGGGGAAACUCAAGCUAAUACCGGAUAAGCCCUUAUGGGGAAAGGUUUACUGCCGAAGGAUCGGCCCGCGUCUGAUUAGCUAGUUGGUGAGGUAAUGGCUCACCAAGGCGACGAUCAGUAGCUGGUCUGAGAGGAUGAUCAGCCACACUGGGACUGAGACACGGCCCAGACUCCUACGGGAGGCAGCAGUGGGGAAUAUUGGACAAUGGGGGCAACCCUGAUCCAGCCAUGCCGCGUGAGUGAUGAAGGCCUUAGGGUUGUAAAGCUCUUUUACCCGGGACGAUAAUGACUGUACCGGGAGAAUAAGCCCCGGCUAACUUCGUGCCAGCAGCCGCUAAAA